rnacentral:lncRNA from 1 species
UUCGGUUGACCGAUUUCUAGCGCCAACAGUUAGUUUGACUUUGAACUUGUUUUUGUGAUGGCCGCAUAGGCCUUUUCUAUGAAAUUGUUUUGAAAAGAGUUUUUUUAUCCUCUUUCUUGUUUUUUGGGUUUGGAAAGUUUAGGGUGCGGGUCGGGCGCGUCACUAAGCAUUGAUGAGCGAAGGCACCGUAGCCGCUGGGGCAUAGGUUUUG